rnacentral:misc_RNA from 1 species
UGUGAUCUGAAUUCAUACAUUGUGGCGAUUAGCUCAGCUCAUUUGCAGCCCUUUUGUGUUGACCGAUGCUGAUCUAUUAUUUCCUGAUUUGCACCAAUGGUACCAAGAUUUCUAUAAUCUAUAUGAAAGUGUGAAUGAGGAGACGUCGGGACGAACUUAUAAACAGACAAAAUUGCCCUUAUAAAUUUAUAUUAUUGAUAAAAG